GUGCAGCAGGCGAGAAUACUUUACAAUGUGCGAAAGCACGAUAAGGGAACUCUGAGUGCCUCCUAAGGAGGCUGUUCAGGUGUCUAAAAGCACCUGAAGGAAGGGCUGGGUAAGACCGGUGCCAGCCGCCGCGGUAACACCGGCAGCCCAAGUGGUAGCCACGUUUAUUGGGUCUAAAGCGUCCGUAGCCGGCUGGGUAAGUUCCUUGGGAAAUUUGGCUGCUUAACAGUCAAGCUUUCAGGGAAUACUGCCCGGCUUGGGGACCGGGAGAGGUCAGAGGUACUCCAGGGGUAGGGGUGAAAUCCAUUAAAUCCUUGGGGGACCACCGGUAGCGAAGGCGUCUGGACCAGACCGGGUCCGACGGUGAGGGACGAA
rnacentral:rRNA from 1 species